rnacentral:rRNA from 1 species
GAUAAACGCUAGCGGCAGGCUUAACACAUGCAAGUCGAGGGGCAGCAUAGAUUGUAGCAAUACAAUUGGUGGCGACCGGCGCACGGGUGCGUAACGCGUAUGCAACCUACCCGUCACAGGGGGAUAAUCCGGAGAAAUCUGGUCUAAUACCCCAUAACAUAUGGAUCGGCAUCGGUUCAUGUUGAAAUUUUCGGAGGUGACGGAUGGGCAUGCGUAGCAUUAGCUUGUUGGUGAGGUAACGGCUCACCAAGGCGACGAUGCUUAGGGGGACUGAGAGGUUUUCCCCCCACACGGGUACUGAGACACGGACCAGACUCCUACGGGAGGCAGCAGUGAGGAAUAUUGGUCAAUGGGCGCAAGCCUGAACCAGCCAUGCCGCGUGCAGGAUGACGGCUCUAUGAGUUGUAAACUGCUUUUGUACGAGGGUAAAGUGGGUUACGUGUAACCUUUUGAAAGUAUCGUACGAAUAAGGAUCGGCUAACUCCGUGCCAGCCUCCGCGGUAA